rnacentral:rRNA from 1 species
AUUGAACGCUGGCGGCAGGCCUAACACAUGCAAGUCGAACGAGUGGCGGACGGGUGAGUAAUGUCUGGGAAACUGCCUGAUGGAGGGGGAUAACUACUGGAAACGGUAGCUAAUACCGCAUACCAUCGGAUGUGCCCAGAUGGGAUUAGCUAGUAGGUGGGGUAAAGGCUCACCUAGGCGACGAUCCCUAGCUGGUCUGAGAGGAUGACGAGCCAAACUGGGACUGAGCAACUGCGCAGACGCCUAGGGGAGUCCGCAGUGGGGAAUAUUGCACAAGGGGCGCAAGUCUGAGGCAGCCAUGACGCGUUUAUGAAGAAGGCCUUUGGGUGGUAAAGCACUUUCAGCGGGGAGGCGUUACCCGCAGAAGAAGCACCGGCUAACUCCGUGCCAGCAGCCGCGGUAAUUC